rnacentral:rRNA from 1 species
CACAUGCAGUCGAGGGGUAACAGGGAGUGCUUGCACUCUGCUGACGACCGGCGCACGGGUGCGUAACGCGUAUGCAACCUACCUUUUACAGGGGGAUAGUCAAGAGAAAUUUUGAAUAAUACCCCAUACGAUCCUGAUAUCACCUGAUAUUUGGAAGAAAACUUCGGUGGUAAAAGAUGGGCAUGCGUCCUAUUAGUUAGUUGGUGAGGUAACGGCUCACCAAGACAGCGAUAGGUAGGGGUCCUGAGAGGGAGAUCCCCCACACUGGUACUGAGACACGGACCAGACUCCUACGGGAGGCAGCAGUGAGGAAUAUUGGACAAUGGAGGCAACUCUGAUCCAGCCAUGCCGCGUGCAGGAAGACUGCCCUAUGGGUUGUAAACUGCUUUUAUACAGGAAGAAACCUACUUACGUGUAAGUAGCUGACGGUACUGUACGAAUAAGGAUCGGCUAACUCCGUGCCAGCAGCCGCGGUAAUACGGAGGAUCCAAGCGUUAUCCGGAAUUAUUGGGUUUAAAGGGUCCGUAGGUGGUUUGCUAAGUCAGAGGUGAAAUCCUACCGCUUAACGGUAGCACUGCCUUUGAUACUGGCAAACUUGAGUUAUUGUGAAGUAGUUAGAAUGGGUAGUGUAGCGGUGAAAUGCAUAAAUAUUAC